GACGAACGCUGGCGGCGUGCUUAACACAUGCAAGUCGAACGGAAAGGCCCUGCUUUUGUGGGGUGCUCGAGUGGCGAACGGGUGAGUAACACGUGAGUAACCUGCCCUUGACUUUGUGAUAACUUCAGGAAACUGGGGCUAAUACCGGAUAGGAGCUCCUGCUGCAUGGUGGGGGUUGGAAAGUUUCGGCGGUUGGGGAUGGACUCGCGGCUUAUCAGCUUGUUGGUGGGGUAGUGGCUUACCAAGGCUUUGACGGGUAGCCGGCCUGAGAGGGUGACCGGCCACAUUGGGACUGAGAUACGGCGCAGACUCCUACGGGAGGCAGCAGUGGGGAAUAUUGCACAAUGGGCGGAAGCCUGAUGCAGCAACGCCGCGUGCGGGAUGCCGGCCUUCGGGUUGUAAACCGCUUUCGCCUGUGACGAAGCGUGAGUGACGGUAAUGGGUAAAGAAGCACCGGCUAACUACGUG
rnacentral:rRNA from 1 species